ACAAAAAGUGUUUUGACUACCUGGGAGAAAGGACAUACCCUCCUAUGCGGAAAAAAAAGACACAGCCCCCUGCUACCUGUUGGAUUCAGAGGAGAGGGGCAGGUUGCUACAAGGUGGAGCUGUGUCAUUUGGGUGUGUGACAGGAGCAACUGACUUUUUUUGUCACAGGUUUUCAGAUCAAGAAGAGUUGUCCCUGAUGCAGAUGAUGAGAUCAUGGACUUCAAGCGUGAGAUGCUGGAGGGAUAGUUUUACAUGUGGGGGAGACAUUCCACGGGGGCCUGAAGAUGGACUGUGGGAGAUUGUCAUAGUCCUACCUCUAGGGGCCACACUCUUGGGAGUCCCCGCCAACAGUGAGUUUGAAUUCGGCCAUGUCAUUGACCUUGUUCACUGAGACAUCCCGUAAAUGUGCCACGAACAGGAUUGAUGAAUAUUUGCAAAGUGAGACUUGCCCUCUUGAAACCCAAUGACCACAUAAAGAAGUCUGGACUGUCUCUCUGGAAAGGAGGAGAGUCACGGUGAUGCAUGUCAGAGUCCCGUCCCUGACGAAGCAGGAGACACAACCAGCAGACUCUGCCACAGUCUUCGCGUAUAUACCCCAUGUGACGCCUGUAUCCUCAGUGCUUGGAAAGAAUCAGCCAGGUGUCCUGGAGGGCCUGAGAGGGACCAGGGUGAUGAUGGGAUCCGGAGAAGAAAGUCAGAUUGGAGCAUGUGUUCCUGAUGUGGCCCCGUUACACUCCCUCAGGUGUAUCCAACCACAGAGAGAGUCUUUCUGCAGCAGCUACCACCAGAGUCUCUACAGCCACAUCUCUCAGAGCCGCAGUCACUUCAUUGAUAAACUUCAGGGGGCUGAACUGGAUACUCUUUUCAGAUGAAGCAGUGCAUAAGCAUUUAUGAUGGGUGAAGCUGAUGUGUUGCAAUGAAUAUCUCAUGCAGGCACUUUGGAUCCAACUCAACUCAUCACACAUUUAUGGUGCCAGAUGCCAAUUUGGAGAAGAAAGGGUCUUGUUCUCAUGAAGCUCACAAUGUCAUAGAAAAACAGAUAGGUAAACAAACAUACACCGAUGGAAAGCACUUGAUCAAGGACCUCCUGGUAGGAGGGUUGAUGGUAAUUAACUGUUCUAGGGGUAGAUGAGGUUUUGGAGGACUGGAUGUGUGAGUUGAGUUUUGGAAGAUGGAGAAAACAAACUUUUGUUUUUUGUUUCCCGUGGGCUAGGA
rnacentral:lncRNA from 1 species